rnacentral:rRNA from 1 species
AAGCUCGUAGUUGAAUUUCGGGAUCAAUGUUUCGGUCAUGCCGUUGGUAUGUACUGAUAUUAUUGAUUUCUCACCUUCUAAAGAACCGUAAUGCCAUUAAUUUGGUGUCACGGGGAAUUAGGACUGUUACCUUGAAAAAAUUAGAGUGUUUAAAGCAGGCUCACGCUUGAAUACAUUAGCAUGGAAUAAUGAAAUAGGACAUCCGAUUCUAUUUUGUUGGUUUCUAGGAUCGAUGUAAUGAUUAAUAGGGAUAGGUUGGG